rnacentral:misc_RNA from 1 species
UGGUCGGUAGUAAAGCAAAGAA